rnacentral:rRNA from 1 species
AGAGUUUGAUCCUGGCUCAGAAUCAACGCUGGCGGCGUGCCUAACACAUGCAAGUCGAACGAGAAAGUGGAGCAAUCCAUGAGUAAAGUGGCGACCGGGUGAGUAACACGUGACUACCUACCCUCGAGUGGGGAAUAACUCCGGGAAACCGGGGCUAGUACCGCAUAACAUCGAGAGAUCAAAGGAGCAAUUCGCUUGAGGAGGGGGUCGCGGCUGAUUAGCUAGUUGGUAGGGUAAUGGCCUACCAAGGCGAUGAUCGGUAGCCGGCCUGAGAGGGCGCACGGCCACACUGGAACUGAAACACGGUCCAGACUCCUACGGGAGGCAGCAGUGGGGAAUUUUGCGCAAUGGGGGAAACCCUGACGCAGCAACGCCGCGUGGAGGAUGAAGUCCCUUGGGACG